rnacentral:pre_miRNA from 13 species
GACCGCACGGGAGUAACCUAUUAUCCCGUGCGGUGCAAUAAGGCCGACCGCACGGGAUAAUCUAUUAUCCUGUGCGGUC